rnacentral:lncRNA from 1 species
GCCGCCUACUUUUUAAAUUAGUCAAGAUAAUUGUUUUUGUCAAGAUAAUUAGCAAAUGAAACAGACUCAAGGAAAAUUUAGUUCAGAGAAUUACCGUUUGCCUGGUCCAAAGUCCUCGCCUUCAGGCAUUUCUGCCCUUUAAAAAGUGGCCCAGGCUGUAGCACUUUGUACCACAGCUUAGAGCCCAAAUGACAAUCUCUUCUCUACUCAAACUUCGAAUACCAGGAGGGAAAAACCCCAGUAGCGAAGUUCUUUCUCCUUUUUGGAAAAAAAAACCAACCAAACCGCUCCUCCUUACUCGGAGAGCAGGUGUUUACAAACUUCCAAAGCGCCUGCCCGCCUUGAAUGAAGCUGAGAGCCAGAGUCGCCGCAGGGAGCUUGAAACUUCACCCUGGGCUAUCACGUCUCCUUGGAGUGGCAGGGGGGAGAGGUGGACAGCAGAGAACAAAACAGCAAUGUACUGUAGAUAUGCUUUGGAUCAAACCUUGGAUACAUCAUACCAGAGUCAAGCUGCAAAAGUUCCUGCAUGGCGACACCCCACUGAUCAGCCAAAAAGCAGCUGUUGCCAUGAGUCCCCUGGAGCCCUGGAGCAUAAGUCUACUUGUGAACUGCUAGGAGCUCAAACACCUAUAUAAAUGGACAACUGCAUAAAUAAGCUUACUACUAUUUUUUAUGUUCUUGUCUAAAGUUAGUAUGUCUAGAAUUCUCAUAUAUUUAAUCUCUUUUCCAAAUUCUGCCUGUAAAACACAAUAAUCUAUUCCUUCAAUGGACAUGCUCUUAUGCCACCUCAAUAAAUCAAUCUGCUAGGUUUGUGGACCAUUACCCAUCUCUAGUGUGUCUGGCUUGCCUUGGUGGAUAUCUCCACUACAAGCAAUGGACGCAUCAACUGUUUUAUGGAGAGAAGCCAUGAAGUAGGUAGGUAGCAUGCCAGUCACAGGGGCCAGCAGGACCUCCAAGAGAGAUUUGCAAGAGUUUGGCGAGACCACGUUCGGUACAACAAAACCGAUCUUAUUACACAGAGCACAAAAACACAACUCUGUGACUAUGCAGGGAGCACCUGCCCUCUUUUCACAGAGGCUAAUUCUCUCCUUUCCUUAAACUGUAGCCAAAUCUGCUGCCUCUUCCUCUCCAGGUUUCCUGAGGCUACUCCUGUACUGAAUUCACUGUCACUUCCUGCUCCUGCUUCUACCUGCCAUCACCCCAUCCUUCCUGGUAUGACCCUUAAUGCCUGAGCAAAUGGGUCAUUUGUGUCUUUACACUUGGCUUUGUAUGUUCAAAUGGCCAUGACUUUGAAAUAUCACAAAUUUAAAAAUUAACAACAUACAACGAACUUUUAAUUAGGAAACGUAUUCCACCAGAAAGUUAGGACAUAAAACAUUCCAACACAGAGACCAGCAUCACAAACUAAAGCCAGAACAGGAGACAACUGUUGGAUACUAGUGAGUCUUUUUUUUUUCUCUUUUCAAUUUUUAUUGUGAUAGCUUAUAUACAACAUAAUAUUUCCCCAUGUUAACCACAUUCAACUACACAACUCAGUGGUGUUAAUUCACUCACAAUGCUCAUGCUACCAUCAGUGCCCUCUAUUACCAAAACAUUUCCAUCACCCCAAACGGAAACUCUUAAACCAAUUAACAUGAACUCCCCAUUCCCCACCCUUCCCAGCCUAUGGAUAGCCUGUAUUCGAAUUUCCAGCUCUAUGAAUUUGCAUAUUCUAAUUAUUUCCCAUGAAGUAUGACCACACACUAUUUGUCCUUUCGCGUCUGGCUUAUUUCACUCACCACGACGCCUUUAAAGUUCAUCCUCGUUGUUGCAAGUAUCAGAACUUCAUUCCUGUAUGCGGCUCAAUAAUAUACAACACAUUUCUCUACCCAGUCCCCUGUUGAUGGACACUUAGAUUUCUUCCACCUAUUGGCUACUGUGAAUAAUGCUGCUAUGAAUGUCAGGGUGCUAUUGAGUCUGUGAAGGUCCUCUCUGCUGGCCUCCCUACCACCCACUUCCCUCCACUCCUCCCCUUUCCAGCCCUACUAUUUUCUCACUCUCCUCCCAUAUUUCUAUCACACUUCCUCAUCCCCACCUCUCACCUCCAGUGCCUCAGUAUCUUUCCUCACCAUCUUGAGCAAGUCUGCUGCUUCUACUCCUGCCCUUUUUGCCCUCACCAGUCUGUGCUGCUUUCUUCUCCAGCACCACCCUGCUCUGUCCAAACGACAUUUUCCAUGUAGCUUCAUUGCUUAUUACUGCCUUUUUGAGCUUCCCUCCACAAAACACAACUGUUCUGAAUAAUCUCCUGGCUUUCUUUCUCUUUUAAAGUUUUAUUCUAAAGCCAUACGUGCAUUUCAGGAGUAAAAGUCAUCGACAGAAUCUUUGGUUCCAAGAAGUUUAGAGUAAACGGCCAUAGGAGAGAAAGAACUCUGGCAGGUCUUAGAGCUCUUGGCAAUCAUGAGGAAAUGGAAAAUUUCUAAGGCCACAAAUCAUAAAGAUGAGAGGUUUUAUGGAUGGUAGAGACUGGAGUUAUUCGACAAGGGUAGCAUACAACUCCAAACAAACAUCUCUGGAGCUGAAAAAUACAGUGCAAUACAAGGGGCACUUAUAACCUUUUUAUCCACAGAUUGUGUAAUAGUUUUGUUAUAGAUUGCUUUUCAUUCCUUGACUAGCUACUAAUAAGACAUUUCUUGGCUAAAAAUUAACCCAGUAUUUUUGUGGACCAAACAGAAAUAGAGACAUUUCAUCCGAGCAAGCCUACAAUAGUUAAUCAUUAUUUCCAUCCUGGUUGGGAGGGUAUGGGUUGGAUGACCACAAAGCCUCCUCCCACCACUCCCUUUAUGCCACCUGGAGACAUCAUGGCUUUGACUCUCCUAGGUGAGUGCCACCUGCUGACCCCACUUGGGGUAGGAAUCAGAGAGCUCUUCAGACACUGGAAGGUUUGAGGUUUGAGGACAUGCACUCCGCCCAAUAUCCUACAGCCUCCAGGCAUUUUUUUCUUUUUUUUUAGACAAAGAACCAGCCCCUUCAGAAGCAUUUGCUCCAAGAAAAGCAGGGCCUGGUGCUGAUCUUGAUGAGUGGGAAAGAAGAGAGACUUAACUUAAAUCUCAUAACCGCUUGUAGGAGGGCAGGUCCCUUCAACAACCUACUGGACCAUCAUCUCCUUACUGCCUCAACUACUGUGUGGUGGUUAAUUUUACAUGUCAAAUGGCUAGGCUAAGGGUGUCCCACUGUUUGAUCGAACACUAGUCUAGAUGUUGCUGUAAAAGUAUUUUGUAGGUGUGAUUAGCAUUUACAGCCAGUCGACUUUAAGUAAGGGAGACUGCCCUUGAUAAUUGGAGACUGCCCUUGAUAAUGCCGCAGCCAAUUGGCUGAAAGCCUUAGGAGUCAAAACAGAGAUUUCCCAGGGAAGAAGAAAUUCUACCCCAAGAUGACAGCCUCAACUCUUGCCCGAAUUUCAAGUCUGCAGGUCUGCCUUUCACACUUCAAACUUGCCUGACCCCCCAAUCAUGUGAGCCAAUUUCUUAAAAUAAAUCUCUUAGUCAAGAUAUACAUAUACCCUAUUGGAUCUCGUCCUCUGGAGAACCCUGACUGAUUAAUACUGUCUAAUGAGAAACUGGAUCUCUGAGAAAGGUGAUUUCUAUCAGGGUCUGAGUAAAACCACUUGAAUGACUCUAAUGUAAUGCAUUUUAAAAACAGAGUGAAACAAACCCAAAACUUGAAUCCUGGAGAGCCUUGGAAAAGCACCCA